rnacentral:rRNA from 1 species
AGAGUUUGAUCAUGGCUCAGGACGAACGCUGGCGGCGUGCUUAACACAUGCAAGUCGAACGGAAAGGCCUCUUCGGGGGUACUCGAGUGGCGAACGGGUGAGUAACACGUGGGUGAUCUGCCCUGCACUUCGGGAUAAGCUUGGGAAACUGGGUCUAAUACCGGAUAGGACCGCAUGCUGCAUGGUGUGUGGUGGAAAGUUUUUAAUGGUGUGGGAUGGGCCCGCGGCCUAUCAGCUUGUUGGUGGGGUGAUGGCCUACCAAGGCGACGACGGGUAGCCGGCCUGAGAGGGUGUCCGGCCACACUGGGACUGAGAUACGGCCCAGACUCCUACGGGAGGCAGCAGUGGGGAAUAUUGCACAAUGGGCGCAAGCCUGAUGCAGCGACGCCGCGUGGGGGAUGACGGCCUUCGGGUUGUAAACCUCUUUCACCAUCGGCGAAGCCGGGAGCUUUUGUUUCUGGUGACGGUAGGUGGAGAAGAAGCACCGGCCAACUACGUGCCAGCAGCCGCGGUAAUACGUAGGGUGCGAGCGUUGUCCGGAAUUACUGGGCGUAAAGAGCUCGUAGGUGGUUUGUCGCGUUGUUCGUGAAAUUCCCUGGCUUAACUGGGGGCGUGCGGGCGAUACGGGCAGACUGGAGUACUGCAGGGGAGACUGGAAUUCCUGGUGUAGCGGUGGAAUGCGCAGAUAUCAGGAGGAACACCGGUGGCGAAGGCGGGUCUCUGGGCAGUAACUGACGCUGAGGAGCGAAAGCGUGGGGAGCGAACAGGAUUAGAUACCCCCGUAGUCC